UAGCCGAUUGACAGUGACUGUGAUUGACAGUAAUGACCAUUGACACACUUGUUGUUGUGGAGGUUUGGCAGCGUUGCUGUUUCCCAUUAAAGUUUGGUUUCCAUUUGGCGGAUGAUGGAGCGUCAUAAAUCAGGCAGAGCGACGUAAGAGGAAAGUUGGAAUUUCGUAGCCCCGUUGGGAAAAUUUUGUUAGUUUUCCAUGUUUUAGUAUCCGAGCAGUAUCAUUUUGCUGUGGUAUCGCGGAAUUUCUAUUUUGAUAGAGUGAGGCUCCGCGUAGUUUGCACCAAGAGGCAGGGUCAGAUCGUGUCGAAGAGAGGGAGUGACAAGUUCACUGCCAGUGUCACCUGUCAUUGUCACUGUCUUGUCCAGCCUGUAGCCAUCCCGUUAUCAGAAAGAACAGUCGACAUUUUGUGGUUUUAAGGAAAAUUUAAGUUCAUCUUGCCGGGAAUUCGGUUGAAUGGAAAAAUAUUCCUCCCAAGUUUUGGGGUUUAAUUUGAUGAACGUCUAGUGGGAAGUUGUAGCCGAGAGGAUUUCGGAUUGAACUAAUAUUUUUGGAUUUGGUCGGCUGCUCCCACACCACUUAUGGGAUUUUGACAUUUUCUAACCACAAAACGAGACUCUAGGCCUCGCUCACCACUUUAGUGAUUUUUUUUUGUCCUCUAUUUUAGAGGCCUCCCUCUCCUUUUUCUCAUUCUCUCCUCUAUUCUCUGGUCUCUUCCUGUUCUCUGGUUUCUUCUGGUCAUCCCAACACUGUUGGCAACCGGCUGAAGUGAGCCUCCACACAGCCUGGACUGAGCAUUGUACUGUGGCUCUGCGAUUUUGGAUUGGAACUUACCUGAAAUCGACUUGCCCAUGUGGUCGUUACCCUGGUUGUAGCUGACUGGUUCCAGAGCUGUCGAGUUAAGCUACCUUAGCCAAAUUCACAAGAGAUUAAAGGACACGCAAGUUUUUGCACAUUUUAUUUCAUUUUUUUCUUAUUGAACGGUUUGAUUUAGGGUUGGGGGUUGAUUUAUUAAUUUGAAUUUUAUGGGUUUAUUUUCUUUUAUGUAAAACAAAGACGUUAAGGGGUUCUUGCUAAGUCUAUUAAUAUUAACCUAAGGGUUUUCAUUUGAGUCGAGCAUCGACAUAAUUGAUUUUGACAUUGAGCCUGGAUCGCCUUGUAAGGGAUCGGCUAUUUGCUACAAAUAACAUAUUUAGUCAUAAUGUUGGUUGUUGGUUAAUAGGUUUUAUUGCACCAACAUACCAUUAAUAGGCUUUCAAAUUCGAACCUUACUAUUUAAAAGUUUUAUUUAGAUUAAUGUGACUUGACUAGAGUUUGUAAAAGGUAUUUAGGGCCAGUGAGGUAUUGUGAAUUGGGCUCCAAACAUAUACUUCUUGUAAACAACACGUGAUCACGUUUUGGAUUUUCCUCUUGAACAGUAGUUCAGUGCAGAUUUGUUUUUUACUAAUUCCUCGCCUUAAGCAUACCUCAAGUAACUCUUAAUUCUUUUAUCAAUUUUUUUAUUUAUUUAAAAUUACUACAGUAUUACAUUUUGAAUAUUUAUAUUAUCUAAAUUUAAAUAUCUCAGUGGAAUUUAAUUUUUUUAUAUAUAAAUGGAAGUUACUAUGUAAAUUCUUGGAUGAUUAUAUCAAUCUGGUGGA
rnacentral:lncRNA from 1 species